GUGGGACAGCACAAAACCGGCCUCUAUUUCAAAUUUGAUUCUUUUGAAAUUCAAAGAGGUGGAUGAGCAUGAGUCACAGACAUUGGAUGAUAUAAAGGAAAAGGAACCAGAGUUUUACAGUAGAGUGAUAGCUGUGUUAAAACGAGCUGAAAAUGACUUUGGAUUAUGA